rnacentral:lncRNA from 1 species
GGAAGAUCCGCUGGAGAAGGGAAAGGCCCCAUUGCUCUGACCUGGAGAAUUCCAUCAACUGUAUAGUCCAUGGGGUAGCAAAGAGUCGGACACGAGUGUGCGACUUUCACUUUUAUAUUGUUUUAACACUUUCAUGCAAAAUUAUAUCUGAGAGCAUUUAACAGUUCUUGAAGACGAGCUCUGUCGCCCUGGCGGGCCGCCCUCCUGUCCCACGCGGCGGGGCAGCGCCUGCCUCAACCCAGGAGAGCGUUCGGGGAGCGCGCGGGCGGCUGGCCCCUGCCGCGCGGGCUGGCGGGCGGCGGCGACGGGCGGCUCCGCGGUGUGGGGACCACACACCGCCCGCCCGCGCCCGGCCCCUUGUCCUCGCGCGGCGAAGGUCCCGCGCGGCGGCGCUGGCGGCGGGACACGGUGGGCCCUGCGCGAAUUAUAGGCGUUCCUUCUGAGGCUCCAUGUUAAGCCUCUCCCGGACGCGCCCUCCCGGCUCCCCGUCCCCGAAAGCCGCACCCCGGGGCCCCAAGGAGCCGCGCUACCGGCCCACACCCCGCGCUCCCGGCCCCUGGCCUCAGGCUGCGGCAUCUCCAGCCCCCAGCCGCCGCCGGGACCGCGCGCCCGCGCCGCGGUCUGGUUCCGGAGCGGGGGCAGCCUCGGAAGGGUUGAGGAGUCAAGAACUGAAAAUUAGAUGGUUUUUUGGAUUUGAGGAUGUGGAAGAUCCUAUGAUUCCUCAUGCAAUGUUAUUUUUAAAGUUCCUGGCCGGGAUGUCAUUCUGA